CCCUUAGAUGUUCUGGGCCGCACGCGCGCUACACUGAUACGCUCAUCAAGCUUACAACCUUGACCGAGAGGUCUGGGUAAUCUUUGAAAUCGUAUCGUGCUGGGGAUAGAUUAUUGUAAUUUUUAAUCUUCAACGAGGAAUUCCUAGUAAACGCAAGUCAUCAACUUGCAUUGAUUACGUUCCUGCCCUUUGUACACACCGCCCGUCGCUACUACCGAUUGAAUGGCUUAGUGAGCCCGAGGGACUGUUGCACCUAGAGGGUUUUCUCUCCAGGAGCAGCCGGGAACUCGGUCAAACUUGAUCAUUUAGAGGAAGUAAAAGUCGUAACA
rnacentral:rRNA from 1 species